GAGCUUCCUGUCUUGAGACGCUUUCUGCUUUCUCAUCUUCCUGCUAAUGAGUUGCCUUUUGUGUGUAUCCCACUUCCUGUCCCACCCAGCCCCAAAUGUCCGUGGAACCGGCCCCACUAACCUGCAUCCAGCUGCCUCUUCCACCUGGGCCCUGCUCUCAGAUGGAAGUGUCACCAAACACCCAGAUCGCCGUGCUCCUGCUUCUCUGGGUUCAAUGAGACCCUCCACCCAGAUGAGCAUGAGCCCAGCCAGGGUGGGCUGUUCAGUUUCUUCCCUGGGAAUCUGGAGCUGGAUUGAGCUGGUCUGCAGAGUGGACACAACCUGAAAACCAACUGGACUGAGCAUCCUUCUCCUAAAAUCUCAGCCAGAAGCCACGAUGGAGGGUCCUGGGAAGGGAAGAGAUGUGAAGAUUUCUGUGAUUCUAAAACCUUGGGUCUGCCUGCAAACUUCUCUCUGAUCCCAGCCGAGAGCUGUGCACACGCUAGCUAGCCCUGUCACACAAUAGCCCAGUGUUCCCGUCACAGUGCCUGGGAAUGAGAGGCUUUUGAGGCCACAGAGCUAUGACAAGUCCCCAGGUUGAAUUGACUCUGGGAGGACAAAUUUCUGAGAGACUCACGGGACCCUUAUCCAGGACAACCUCACAAAGAUCCCUGAAACUGAGCUUCCUCUGCUUCGUGCAUAGUUUGAGGUAUAAACUUUCCUUGUGUCUCGGUCAGAUGAAGUGAAGGAUGAAUAUUAUCCCAGGCUAAAGUAACGAAAAGUCCAGAAGCCAGCGAUGACAGAGAUGUGUGUGGAAGAAGGCUGUGAGCAUUUCCAUCAAACCCUGUGAGUUUCCGAAGAUCUUAUCCCGAAGAUAUGUGUUUGGCCAAUAAAACACUGAAUAAAAAUCCAUCAUGUUUCCAGAGCCAAGUCGACUUCUGCUGGGCUGGGGUGAGGCAGAGGCAGAAUCAGACCUUAUAAAGAUGUUUUGAAUAGCGGCUGUUCUGGGAUCGCAGCCCAGUGACAGUGAAUGCUUUCUGAGUUCUCGGAUGAGAAGGAACAGAGUGACAGACUGACCAUAACUGGCCACUGUGGUGUGUGCUCAGCUCCAGACCAGCACCUUAUUUGGUGGGGGGAGAGGGUUCAAGGCCCCAGCGAGACAGUGAGUCCUGGUAGGGAAGGAACUCUGGCCAAGCUGCAGGCUGUGCAGUGGAGUGGGUUAGGAGGGGCCCUCGGGGAGGGAAGAACAAGGAGAGAGGGAAGUGAGAGGAAAGGAGGUUUCUCCUUCAUCUAAAUCCCAAGUAUACACCCUUCUAAGGUCUGUUCUGGCCCUUCCCUAGGGAGUGCCUUCCCCUCUACCUGCCAGGUCCCAUAGAUAAGGAUGUCCUCCCCUGCAGGCGCCUGGCCUCCAUCACAGCAUGCCCACUCUGUGCCCGCUGCAACCUCCUCUGACUCUCCCACUAGACCGGUGCCUGGUACACAUGCUCCUGCGUGCAUGAACAUCGGUCAGCUAUGGGUCCUCAAGAUGACAAAACCCCCUGCUCCUGUGUCCUCACGGGGAUCUGCACCAGCACUGGGCUGAACACUCUCCCUGCAAUCUGUCAGUCACGUCUUCUGUAGCAUUUUCUUUCUGGCAACAACGGUUGGGGUCAUUAAAAGUGUCUUUGAAAUGCAACCUUUUAAUUACAGGAGGAAUACUGCCCCUGGGAAGGGGCCUUUCUUCAAAUGCUCCAGGAAUUCCUUGGCCAAUACACUCCAGGGGGAACACAGCCCAAAACGGGCCUGUGGCUGUGAUCAGACCCAGGCAUCCUGUCAAAACAGGAGCCUGGGAAGGGGAAGCUCAGGGAAGGAAAG
rnacentral:lncRNA from 1 species